UACGGAGGGUGCAAGCGUUAAUCGGAAUUACUGGGCGUAAAGGGUGCGUAGGCGGUUGUUUAAGUCUGUUGUGAAAUCCCCGGGCUCAACCCUGGGAAUGGCAAUGGAUACUGGACAGCUAGAGUGUGUCAGAGGAUGGUGGAAUUCCCGGUGUAGCGGUGAAAUGCGUAGAGAUCGGGAGGAACAUCAGUGGCGAAGGCGGCCAUCUGGGACAACACUGACGCUGAAGCACGAAAGCGUGGGGAGCAAACAGG
rnacentral:rRNA from 1 species